AGCGCUCCUCCGUGUACGUGUUUACCCUGAAGGAAAGACCACCAUUUGAAAAUGCUCUGAAGAAUCAUUUUGCUGCUCUUUCAUUUCUGGUGGAGGCAUCUCCUUCUGACAUCUUCAUGAGAAAUCGUGGAUGCAUCUUCAUGGUGCCAAGGGCAUUCCAGCACUUUUUGUUUAAAAACAGCAUUACCUUCUGAAUCAAGUUCUUCUAUUUAUAUUAUGCACAAGGGUAAUGGCAGCUUUGAUGUAUACGUCCUAAGCCGCCUUGUCUGAAGACAGUCUGCUAGCAAUGCUUAAGGAUGACGGUGUUCCAUUACCUGCUCUUUGAAGCAGCAGAGGUACCACAGAAUGGCUGUUAUUGAAAAUUUUCCUUGAUUAUUAUUUUUACUGCCAGACUUUUAAACCAUACAAUAUCAGCUUUCUUUCGACUUUGCUUCUUAGUUCCUUCUAUGGUAAAGCUUAAUACAGUGAACAUAUGGAACAGCUGAAAGGCUGCCAAAGGUUUAAAUGACAAGGUUAUAAAUACAGA